CGGUUGGUUCUCAUAAAUUAUUCAAACAAUAUACUUGCAGUUACUGUUUAUGAUGGCAUACAAAUUACAACUUGUGCUAUUGGUCAUACACUUUUUGUGUUUCUCACUGUGGAUGUAUUUGAUAUGAAUAGAAAUAUACCUUGCCCAUACAAAUGUGACGACUGGCCGUGUAAAAUUGGCAUAGGCUGCGCACGUUGCAAGACGGGUUAUUCUAAAUUGUAUAAUGGAGUAUUUGUUGGCUAUAUUUGUGUUAAGGGCUGUCCACCAGGCUACACACUGAAGAACGAAUACUGCGUCAAGUAACAUGUAAUUUCUGCCGCAGAGGCUCUAAAUGGUUCUUAUGAGAUAACUUUGACAAAAGAUGUGCAAACAAAAUUGAAUAUUCUUUCUCAUAAACAAUUAUUGAAGAAUACGGUUUACUUAUUUUCCGACAUGUAAUGUAUCAUUAUAUAAUUUACCUUCUCAGAAGUCUUGAAUAAAAACAACAACAACAUUA
rnacentral:lncRNA from 1 species